UUUGGGGCUUAUUCUGCUUAAUGGAGCUGUAAUAAUAUCAUAUUCAACAAUUUAAUAAAUUAAAAAUUCAAUAUUAAUUUUAAUAAUAAAUUUCAUAAUUUUAUUACAAUAAAUACAUUUAUUAUUAUGUAUUAAAUUAACAAUAUUAACCUCCAAAUUUUAUUCUAUUCCUGUUCACAUGUGCCUGCCUGGAGUGUUCUUGUUGAAAUUGUUGCUUCAGUUUUUACAUACUAAUAAGAAUUAGAUGACAGCUGUACCUUGUGAAUGUUCUAACACAAACUAGUUCGAACAAGUAACAUUUGAAUAUAAACUAGAAUACUG
rnacentral:lncRNA from 1 species